rnacentral:rRNA from 1 species
AUGAAGAUAGGGAUGCCGGGCUGCAACACCACCUGCGGCAACGUAAGCGUGCCUUACCCGUUCGGCAUGGGCCCGAAGAGUUGUUACUGGCCGGGGUUCAAGCUCACCUGCGACAACAACGGAAGCAAUCUCCCGCGGCUUCUCCUCGGCGAUGGAAGUGCCGGCAUUUUCGAGGUCGUCAAGAUCUCCGUGGAGAACACUACGAUGCACAUCAUCAGCCACGGACUGCAAGCCAUCAACAUGAGGGGCGGCUCGGGCCGGUGGAGCCUCGGUGAUGCUGAGACUGAGAGCAUCGGCGCCGGCAGGUUGCCCUACUUGCUGCACCCGGAUUCAAAUGAUUUCAUCCUCACGGGUUGCAACGUGCAGGCGACGCUUCUGGGGAACCGCAGCCUCGCCAGCGGGCAGCGGCUGCGCUUCGUUCUGCCCGGCUUUUGGUGAUGGUGGUGGCGGUAACCUACUUUAUUCUGGGGGAAAAUCCAAUACCUGCUCCAACAUCGGCUGCUGCCAGUCGACCAUCCAAACUGCCAGCGCGUCCUACGGCGUGGAGCUCAAGCGGCUCAACUACAGCGGCGUGUACAGCAAUUUCGAUUUGCCCGUGCACGUGCUCAUCGCCGAGGUGGGUUGGUUCGACUUAGACCACAAUCGGGAGGUGGUUAUGAACCUGUACUGGGAGGAAAACCAAAAAGAAGCUCUCUCGCGGCUCAGGGUCCCCGUGAUUCUCGCGUGGGCAUUGGCACACGAGGCAGCAGUGUAUAACUCUGGCCAUUUGCAUUGCCCAGAACACGCAGCCCGGAGCAUAUGCAAGAGCGCCCACAGCAAUUGCAGUGUCGGAGACUUCCUUAAAGAUCAAGUCAGAGGCUAUUCGUGCCAGUGCAAGGAGGGCUACCAGGGCAACCCUUACCUCACCGGAGGAUGCCAAGAUAUCAAAGAGUGCGAUCAAAAAGAAAAACAUUUCUGCUUCGGGGACUGUGAGGAACUGCCGGGCUCGUUCCAGUGCCGGUGCCCGAACGGAACGCAUGGCAAUUACACAAAGCCCGGUGGCUGCAUCAUCAUCGAGUCUGAAGACACACUCGGAGGUCAUAAUAGCUUGGGUUUAAUCAUUGGUCCCUCGGUCGCUAGUGGCCCAUUUAUUCUACUUUUGGUUCUUGGUGCAAUCCUAACUAUCCGUGGUUUUAACCAACGCAAGGCGAAGGCGCUGAGACAGAAGUUCUUUACUCAAAACCGUGGCCAACUAUUAAAGCAAUUGGUUUCUCACAGGGCCGACAUCGCAGAGCGGAUGCUCAUCUCUUUAGAAGAGUUAGAGAAGGCUACCAACAAUUUUGAUCAAGCCCGCAGGCUAGGUGGAGGUGGACAUGGCACUGUCUACAAAGGGAUUAUGUUAGACCUGCAUGUUGUGGCCAUCAAGAAGUCAAAUAUUGUUGUGAGGAGAGAAAUCGACGAGUUCAUAAAUGAGGUUGCCAUACUCUCACAGAUCAACCAUAGAAAUAUUGUGAAGCUCCGUGGAUGUUGCCUCGAGGCAGAAGUGCCGUUACUUGCUUACGAGUUCAUUUCCAAUGGAACACUCGCCGACCAUCUUCACGCGGAAAAAGGAGGGUCGCUACCUUGGAAAGAUAGGUUAAGGAUCACAAGUGAAAUAGGCAAAGCUCUUGCUUACCUUCACUCUGCUAUAUCAGUCCCUGUAAUACACAGAGAUAUCAAACCCUCCAACAUACUUCUUGAUGAUGCCUUGACAGCAAAAGUGUCAGACUUUGGAGCUUCAAGGUACAUUAUUCCUGUGGAUCAAACAGGUACAACAACUGUGGUGCAAGGAACUAUAGGGUACUUAGAUCCUAUGUAUUAUUAUACUGGACGCCUAACCGAAAGUAGUGAUGUUUAUAGCUUUGGAGUCCUUCUUGUUGAAUUACUUACUAGGAGGAAGCCAUCUCUGUAUAGAUCUUCCGAAGGUGAUGGGCUUGUCAUGCAAUUUGUUGCACUACUUGCAGAAGGCAAUUUGGCAAAAAUAAUAGACCCACAAGUUAUAGAGGAGGGGGGUAGCGCAGUGAAAGAAGUUGCUACUCUAGCCAUGGAGUGCGUGAAACUAAGAGCAGAGGAGCGACCAACCAUGAGGCAAGUAGAGAUGGCGCUAGAAGCUCUCCAAGCACCCAAUAAGCGUGUCGGGGCUGAUUUGAUAGAAGAAACAGAUGAGAAGGAAUAUGCAGCAACAGGCUAUCCAUCCACCAGCCAACAAGCAAAGAAAAACGAAGGAAGCAGGUGUUAUAGCCAAGAAGAUGAGUUCCUGUUAUCUGCAACAUACCCUCGAUAG